rnacentral:rRNA from 1 species
GACGAACGCUGGCGGCGUGCUUAACACAUGCAAGUCGAACGGAAAGGCCCUGCUUUUGUGGGGUGCUCGAGUGGCGAACGGGUGAGUAACACGUGAGUAACCUGCCCUUGACUGUGGGAUAACUUCAGGAAACUGGGGCUAAUACCGGAUAGGAGCUCCUGCUGCACGGUGGGGGUUGGAAAGUUUCGGCGGUUGGGGAUGGACUCGCGGCUUAUCAGCUUGUUGGUGGGGUAGUGGCUUACCAAGGCUUUGACGGGUAGCCGGCCUGAGAGGGUGACCGGCCACAUUGGGACUGCGAUACGGCCCAGACUCCUACGGGAGGCAGCAGUGGGGAAUAUUGCACAAUGGGCGGAAGCCUGAUGCAGCAACGCCGCGUGCGGGAUGACGGCCUUCGGGUUGUAAACCGCUUUCGCCUGAGACGAAGCGUGAGUGACGGUAAUGGGUAAAGAAGCACCGGCUAACUACGUG